rnacentral:tRNA from 3 species
AACAUAAAUAAAAUCUAUGUUACGGCCAUAGAUAUGAUAAAAUUUUAUCUUAUGUUU